rnacentral:rRNA from 1 species
UACAGAGGGGGCAAGCGUUGUCCGGAAUUACUGGGCGUACAGCGCGCGCAGGCGGUUGCCGACGUGCCGUGUGACAAACGGGGGCUCAACCCCCGAGGGCCACGGUAAACGGGGCGACUGGAGGGAGGGAGAGGGAUGUGGAAUGCCCGGUGGAGCGGUGAAAUGCGCAGAUAUCGGGAAGAACACCCGUGGCGAAGGCGGCUCUCUGGGACGGUACUGACGCUGAGACGCGAAAGCGUGGGGAGCGAACAGG